UCCGUAGGUGGAUCAAUCAGUCAGAGGUGAAAUCCUGCAGCUUAACUGUAGAACUGCCUUUGAUACUGUUGAUCUUGAGUCAUUAUGAAGUGGUUAGAAUGUGUAGUGUAGCGGUGAAAUGCAUAGAUAUUACACAGAAUACCGAUUGAGAAGGCAGAUCACUAAUAAUGUACUGACACUGAGGGACGAAAGCGUGGGGAGCGAACAGGAUUAGAUACCCUGGUAGUUC
rnacentral:rRNA from 1 species